rnacentral:rRNA from 1 species
UCAAGAGAACGUGAAAUCGUUGAAGUGGAACCGGAGAGAGUUGACGUAGUAUGGUGGAUAAGUAUUGCAAGAAUCGCUUCAAACAAUGAAUGUGAUCGAGUAAUAUGUACGUCACCAAAGACUGCGCUGACAGCAUCGACUACACGCUCUGAACUGUGUUGACAUGUUGCCUAUUCUAGUAUAUAGAAUGGUGUCUUGUGUUACGUGGUGAAGUUUGUUGUUAUGUUGUUGAUGUUGAUAAGUAUGAUUAUACACCAAGUAUAAUUAUGUCAGUGUAAAAGUCAACCACCUCUCCGACCCGUCUUGAAACACGGACCGAGGAGUGUAACUUGUACGCGAGUCAUUGGGUGGAAAAACCUUAAGGCGAAACGAAAGUGAAGGCACGGUUAACCGGCUGACAUGGGAAACGUGCGGUAUUGUUAGCGAGACGUUACACCAUGGCCCUGUCUUGUCUGCAUGCAGAUGGGCAGCGGUAGAGCGUACAGGUUGCGACCCGAAAGAUGGUGAACUAUGCCUGAGCAGGACGAAGUCAGAGGAAACUCUGGUGGAAGUCCGUAUCGGUUCUGACGUGCAAAUCGAUCGAUAGACUUGGGU